rnacentral:misc_RNA from 1 species
AAAAAUCUUUUCUUUUCUUUUCUAUUGGGUUUCGAUUGGUGUUUUUAAUUCUUGAAAAUGGAACAAGGGCCAAUUCUUUCUCCCCAUAUACUCAUCUUUCCUGCCGCAGGCCAAGGCCAUGUGAACUCCUUACUCAAGCUUGCAGAGCUUUUAUGCCUUGCUGGCUUUAAGAUCACCUUCAUAAAUUUCCAGAAUAUCCAUGAACGUCUAGUUCGUCAUACAGAUGUUGAAGCUCGUUUUUCCAAAUAUUAUGGAUUCCAAUUCAAAACCAUACCAGGUUGUGAGGCAGAAGAUCCUCGACCGGCCGACUGGGUGAGAAAGUUAUUUCAGGAAAUGGAAGUGAAGAGCAAGCCAAUUUUCAAGAAGAUGGUGAUUGAGAGUAACCCAGCAGUUAACUAUAUCAUCGGAGAUGGGGUGAUGGGAUUUGUCUAUGAUGUCGCUGUUGAGGUUGGGAUUCCUACUAUUCAGAUGCACUGCAUCAGUGCUUGCUCCUUCUGGACUUUCUUUUCUAUUCCUGACGUUGUUGCUGCUCAUCAACUUCCUAUCAAAGGAAAAGAAGACAUGGACAGGUUGAUCACAAAAGUACCGGGAAUGGAAACGUUUCUCCGGUGCCGGGAUCUUCCAGGAGGUUUUUGCCAAGUUAGCCACAUAUCAGACCCUAAUCUCUUCGUCAUCACCAAAGAGAUACGACAAUCCCAAGCACUCAUCAUCAACACCUUUGAAGAGCUAGAAGGACCAAUACUUUCCCAAAUACGCAUUCGCUACCCUAAAAUCUACACAAUCGGACCUCUCCACAAGCAUCUGAAAGCAAAACUAAGAAGCAUCGAAAAGCAAGAGUCGUAUUCAUCCUCGACCAGUCUUUGGGAAGUUGACAGGACCUGCAUCACAUGGCUGGAUAACCAGCCAUCGCAAUCUGUACUCUAUGCAAGCUUUGGUAGCAUUACAAUUAUGACUAGACAGCAGCUCAUGGAAUUCUGGCACGGUCUAGUUAAUAGCAAAAAGUUCUUGUGGGUUAUAAGGCCUGAAUCUGUUAUUAACCAAGAUGGUGAUAAUCUUGGAAAAAUUCCUGAGCAGCUUCAGGAGGGAGAAAAGGAAAAAGGAUACAUCGUCAAAUGGGCACCCCAGGAAGAGGUUUUGGCACACAAGGCAAUUGGUGGGUUCUUGACACACAGUGGAUGGAACUCUACUUUGGAGAGCAUAGCGGCUGGUGUGCCUAUGAUUUGCUGGCCUUACUUUGGUGAUCAGCAAGUGAAUAGCAGGUAUGUGAGUGAGAUUUGGAAGCUGGGAUUGGACAUGAAGGAUGUAUGUGAUAGAAGGGUUGUGGAGAAGAUGGUGAAUGAUCUGAUGGUGGAUAGGAGGGAGGAGUAUGUAAAGUCAACGGCUAGGAUGCAAGAGUUAGCAAGUAAGAGCGUAUCAGAAGAUGGAUCUUCUUCUUGUUGUCUGAACCGUCUGAUCGAGGACAUAAGGUUGAUGAACAAGAAGGCAUAUGCCAGCGACAAAUGACAAGGAUAACUUGUCACAAUAAAGAAUAUUUUUUUAUUUAUUAUUUUCUUUACUCUUGUUUAGAUGAAAAGAAAAAUAAAAAAAAAUAAGAAAAAUAAAGUAUUAUCUGAAAGAGGAAAAAAUUAAGAGAGAAAAAUUUAUCACGAAUUUAUAAUUUUAUUCUAUAUAUUUUCAAGAGAAUUUAAGUAAAAAGAAUAAUUUUAGAAUUU